CACCCCUCAGGGAGGCCUCGGUGAUCUUGCCAGAGCCUCAGCCUCCAUCGCUCUGUAACCUGCGGGUAUUGGAUGAUUCGUAGCUAAGACUUCGCGACACCCUUGAAGCUGAGAAAUGGAACCCUUAACAUUCAGGGAUGUGGCCAUAGAAUUCUCUCCAGAAGAGUGGAAAUGCCUGGACCCUGCCCAGCAGAAUUUGUAUAGAGAUGUGAUGUUGGAGAACUACAGAAACCUGGUCUCCCUAGGUUUGACUUGCAGUAUCCAGAGGAAAUGUGGAGAAACACGGUUGUACAGAAGGGAAGAAAAUAGGUUGAUACUCCUGUUGCAGGACCAUUUGAAGUCUGAGAGUUUCCAG
rnacentral:sRNA from 1 species